rnacentral:rRNA from 1 species
UACGGAGGGUGCAAACGUUGCUCGGAAUCAUUGGGCGUAAAGCGCACGUAGGCGGUCUGUUAAGUCGGAUGUGAAAGCCCUCGGCUCAACCGAGGAAGUGCAUACGAAACUGGCGGACUUGAAUAUGGAAGAGGGUCGCGGAAUUCCCGGUGUAGAGGUGAAAUUCGUAGAUAUCGGGAGGAACACCAGUGGCGAAGGCGGCGACCUGGGCCAAUAUUGACGCUGAGGUGCGAAGCGUGGGGAGCAAACAGG